UAGCUAGUCUAUUCGGUGAUGCAGCUAACGCAUUAAACAUUCCGCCUGGGGAGUACGGUCGCAAGAUUAAAACUCAAAGGAAUAGACGGGGACCCGCACAAGUGGUGGAGCAUGUGGUUUAAUUCGAAGAUACGCGAAGAACCUUACCUAGCCUUGACAUAUAUUAGAACACUUUAGAGAUAGAGUGGUGCCUUCGGGAGCUUUUAUACAGGUGCUGCACGGCUGUCGUCAGCUCGUGUCGUGAGAUGUUGGGUUAAGUCCCGCAACGAGCGCAACCCUCGUCACUAGUUACUAACGGUUCGGCCGAGGACUCUAGUGAGACUGCCUUCGUAAGGAGGAGGAAGGUGAGGACGACGUCAAGUCAUCAUGGCCCUUACGGCUAGGGCAACACACGUGCUACAAUGGCCAGGACAGUGAGAAGCGAUACCGCGAGGUGGAGCAAAUCUAUAAACCUGGUCUCAGUUCGGAUUGUAGUCUGCAACUCGACUACAUGAAGCUGGAAUCACUAGUAAUCGUAGAUCAGCUAUGCUACGGUGAAUACGUUCCCGGGUCUUGUACUCACCGCCCGUCACACCAUGGGAGUUGAUUUCACCCGAAGCGGGGAAGCUAAACUGGCUACCCUCCACGGUGGAAUCAGCGACUGGGGUGAAGUCGUAACAAGGUA
rnacentral:rRNA from 1 species